rnacentral:rRNA from 1 species
UACGUAGGGGCCGAGCGUUGUCCGGAUUCAUUGGGCGUAAAGAGCGUGUAGGCGGCCGCUUAAGUCCUGCGCGAAAUCUCGGAGCUCAACUCCGAGCGGUCGUGGGAAACUGGGCGGCUAGAGUGCGGGAGAGGAGAGUGGAAUUCCUGGUGUAGCGGUGGAAUGCGCAGAUAUCAGGAAGAACACCCGUGGCGAAGGCGGCUCUCUGGAACGCAACUGACGCUGAGACGCGAAAGCGUGGGGAGCGAACAGG